CCUACGGGAGGCAGCAGUGAGGAAUAUUGGUCAAUGGACGAGAGUCUGAACCAGCCAAGUAGCGUGAAGGAUGACUGCCCUAUGGGUUGUAAACUUCUUUUAUAAAGGAAUAAAACGAGGCACGUGUGCCUUUUUGCAUGUACUUUAUGAAUAAGGAUCGGCUAACUCCGUGCCAGCAGCCGCGGUAAUACGGAGGAUCCGAGCGUUAUCCGGAUUUAUUGGGUUUAAAGGGAGCGUAGAUGGGUUGUUAAGUCAGUUGUGAAAGUUCGCGGCUCAACCGUAAAAUUGCAAUUGAUACUGGCAGUCUUGAGUACAGUUGAGGUAGGCGGAAUUCGUGGUGUAGCGGUGAAAUGCUUAGAUAUCACGAAGAACCCCGAUUGCGAAGGCAGCUCACUAAACUGUGACUGACAUUGAUGCUCGAAAGUGUGGGUAUCAAACAGGAUUAGAUACCCGAGUAGUC
rnacentral:rRNA from 1 species